AAAUAAAAAGCUGAUUUAGGGGAACAGGAUCCCAGUGGUCAGCCAGUGAGUGGGGAGGCAAGUACCAACACCCGAGCACCCAACUUCUAGGCCAAGGCCCUCUGAAAAUGUUUUCUGCUCAAUCCUCUCUGCAGACAUCUUCUGCUGAGAAGUGUUCAGAUUUUUCUCAGAGGCUGAGUGAGGUCAAGUCAACCCAAUUCGUCCAUGUAAAUACAAGUGAUAUACCCUUUAAAAGGUGCUGGCAAGAGACGUGUUCACUUGAAGUCAAGCUUUUUUCUUUCUCUUGGACUCCAUAAUACCUGUCAUCAUUUAUUUAUAAUCCCACUGAGUAUCCUACUUAGGUUUUUUGGCACAUCUGGGCACUGAGCAAGGCUAAUUAAUCCCCCUUCCCCCAUGAAUUCCUGGGUAAGAAUAAUUGCUUUAUGAGGGUGGUUAUAGGGGUACCCGAAGCCUCAAGGAAAAUCAUUACAUCUCUGAGUGGAUGUCGCUCAGGACAACGGGUCUUUGCUGUGGCCCUGCCCAGACAAAGCACCAGCAGCCUGAGGGAUUUUUCCAUCAGCUUGGACUCCAGUCUUCUCACCCAUCUCUCUUUUGUCACACCCCAAAAUAAUAAUCAUAAUCAUAAUUAAAAACAGGAUAAUGGUGGAAUCUUCCUCUCAGGGUUGCUGAAAGAAGUAAAAAGAUAAUGCAAAUAAAGUGUUUCACACCUUGCCUAAAAGUAGUAAGUACUCAUUAAGGGAAGAGUAGUAGCAAUGCUAACAAUGACAAUAUCAGCUAACAUUGAUUGAGCACUUCCUGUAUACCAGGCCCUGUUCUAAAUGCUUUGCAUGCGUCUGAUCUCAUUUAAGAUUCUUUCCAGCUCUUUCACUCUCAGGCUGAAUAUUCUGAUAUAAACAAGACCUAUUAAAUGUUAGAUGAUACUUGAGUGAACAGAUGUCUGAUUCUAGUGCCUGUUCUAUUUUCCCCUAGCCUGAUUGUCUUUAUUAAGCCCUGGGUUUCCUGGCCCAAGUUCCUGGUAAGUGGAUGAACUUGGUUUUCUUUUCUUUCUUCAUUUUCAUUUUCUAAAUUAAAUAAAAUUUGUUUUAGAGUUGGAGUCUAUGUUGCCCAGGCUGGCCUUGCACUCUUGGGUUCAAAUGGUCCUCCCACCUCUGCCUCUCAAGUAUCUGGAAUUAUAGGCACAUACCCAGUGUGCCUGACUGAGCCUGGUUUUCUGACCAACCCAAACAUUUACCCAUCUCUCCUUCCUUUCUUUUGCCUAUCACCUAUCCAUCAACCUAAUCAUCCCCUCAUCCAUCUAUAUACUCAGCAACCAAAUUAUUCAACUACAUACCCACCCAUCCAUCUACCCACUCACUCAUCUAUUCGUUCACUCACCCACUUACUCAUCCAUCUUUCUUUCCAUUCAUUCAUAUAUUCUAUCCAUUAUCCAUCUUGCUACCUUCUCAUCCACCUACUUAUCCAUUUAUCCAUCUAUCCACCCAUCCGUACACCAUCUGUCUUUCCACUCAUCCAUCUAUCUGCCCAUUCACCCACCCACACAACUACUCCCUCAUCCACCCCAAAUAUUCAUGCAUCUAUCCACCACUCACUCGCCAGUCAUCCAUCCGUCCACCCUUCUAAUCUAUCCAUGUAUCUAUCUGCCCACCCAGCCAUCUCAACCCAUCUACCACCUAACAUUUGCAGUGAUGCUCUGUGCUAAUCCCUAGCUUGUUGUUUUGGGCUCCCUCCCUGGGAGGAAAGGUGAGUGCCAUCAGAGGGUCCCCACAGAGGAAGACAGAUAAACCAGUGAGCCUCUUUGUGGCCUGGACCUUCAAAGCCACUGACUUCCAGGGUCUGUGGCCAAACAAUGAUGAAAUGCACAUGGAAAAUGAGAAGCCCUGCAAUUACAUGGAAAGAGACAGAGGCUCAGCCCUCCCAAUGUUACAGCUGAAUGCAGCAUUCCAGGCAUCCCUACCAAGCCACUCCACCAUAGGGUGGAGAUGGAUGGAGGCACAUGCUUCCAGCAGAGCAAUUAGAGGUAAACUAAUAUCUCUUUCCCACAGAGGAGCCUGGGAACUCCAAGACGCAAUGGAAAGGAGGCGAGUCAGCAAAAGGAGGAAAUCAAAGCCACAGAGAUCAAGAGCUAAUUAACUGAUCCUCCUAAGAUAAUGUUUCAUUAAAAUCCAGUUCUUCUGCCCUGUGGGGACUGAUAUCUCUCCUACUGCCUCUCCAUUGCCCUUUUCCACCCAUUCCUGAUCUCAUCUGCCUCCGCUCUGAUCUUUCCCCAAGUCUUCUCCCUCCUCCAAUCCAACCUCCCCCCAGCUACUAGGGUAGACUUUUAAAGGCACAAGUCUGACCAUGUCACUCCCUAUUUAUAAGUCUUCACCACUCAUUGCCUGAGACAAAGGGCAAACUCCCAAGAUAAGGCAAAGGCCGUUCAUUCAUUUAACACAGAUUUCCUCAGUGCCUCUCCUCUCUCACAAGCUUGGGGAUGGUAGGACACAGAAACAAGUUUCUGACCCUUGCCCUGUUUCUCCAGCUUCUUUACCCACCACUCCUUUCCACAUUCCUGCAUUUCAGCAAAAACUUUCCAACCUCCGGCUUAGUGAUAGCCAGUCCCUAGGGAAACUGUUGUUAGUAUCCAUGCUUUGCUCAGCUCACUUCCACAUUGACUCUGGGCUUGGCCUUGUGACUUGCAUUUACCAGUGGAAUGUGGUGGCAGUAAUGCCAGUUCCAGGCCUAAGCCUUGAAAGGGUCGGGAAGCUUCUGCUUUUGUGCUCUUGGGAGCUCUGAACCACUGUGUAGGCAGCCAGGCUACCCUGCUGGAAGGGACCAUGUGGAAAAACCACAUGGAAAGUGAGAAGCCCUGCAAUUACAUGGAAAGAGACCAGAGGCUCAGCCCUCCCAAUGUUACAGCUGAAUGCAGCCUUCCAGCCAUACCUACCAAGGCACCAGGCAUAUGAAUGAAGUCGUCGUGGACGUCCCAGCCUCACCUAACAUCUGACUGCAGCUGCAUGAGAGACCCCCAAGUGAGAGCAGCAGCAGAACCAUCCAACUAUAAGCCCCAUUCUCUUUCUAUUAGUUCUUAUGAGAGCUAUUCAUUCUCAUGAGCUUUUUAGAAAGUGCCAACCUGGCUGGGCACUGUGGUUCACGCCUGUAAUCCCAGCACUUUGGGAGGCUAAGAUUGGUGGAUCACCUGAGGUCAGGAGUUUGAGACCAGCCUGACCAACAUGGUGAAACCCCGUCUCUACUAAAAAAAUUACAAAAAUUAGCCAAGCGUGUUGGCAGGCACCUGUAAUUCCAGCUACUCAGGAGGCUGAGGCAGGAGAAUUGCUUGAACCCAGGAGGUGGAGGUUGCAGUGAGCCAAGAUCAUGCUGCUAGACUCCAGCCUGGGC
rnacentral:lncRNA from 1 species